rnacentral:rRNA from 1 species
AUGUGGGCACCUGAUAUCUAUGAGGGUUCACCCACCCCGGUGACAGCAUUCCUUUCUAUUGCACCUAAAAUCUCUAUUUCUGCAAAUAUGUCACGUGUUUCUAUUGUUGCUUCCUAUGGGGGUACAUUACAACAAAUCUUCUUUUUCUGCAACAUUGCUUCUAUGAUCUUAGGAGCACUGGCCGCCAUGGCCCAAACAAAAUUCAAAAGACCUCUAGCUCAUAGUUCGAUUGGACAUGUAGGUUAUAUUCGUACUGGUUUCUCAUGUGGAACCAUAGAAGGAAUUCAGUCACUACUAAUUGGUAUAUUUAUUUAUGCAUCAAUGACGAUAGAUGCAUUCACCAUAGUUCCAGCAUUACGGCAAACCAGUGUCAAAUAUAUAGCGGAUUUGGGCGCUCUAGCCAAAACGAAUCCUAUUUCGGCUAUGACCUUCUCCAUUACAAUGUUCUCAUACACAGGAAUACCCCCGUUAGCCGGCUUUUGUAGCAAAUUCUAUUUGUUCUUCUCCGCUUUAGGUUGUGGGGCUUACUUCCUAGCCCCAGUGGGAGUAGUGACUAGCGUUAUAGGUCGUUGGGCGGCCGGAAGGUUGGUAGACCGAAGGCAGUUUUCUGUGCACCGGACACGUAGCUUACCGAAUCAGUUGCAACAACAGAUGGGAAUGCAUGCUACGAAAGACAGGGUCGAGUCUGAUACAUCAAUCGUCGACUCCAUAUCCUUGUACGAGUUCACAAUCACUACACGAGAUGAACCUGGGUUUGGUGAAUGGAAGUUGGCCUUAGGUGUAAUAGGACUCCCAGUUACUGCGCGCGAUCGUAUACUGAGGUGCUCCCCGUUGGUUGUUGGAACGACGCGAGCCGGGCCGGGCCUCGAUUCCUUUCAAAAAGAUGAAGGGACCGAGGUGACUAAUUCCCCAUCUCAUUUGGGGCGGAAAAUGAAUCGACAUCUCGAUGUGAUACAGCCCUUUCCAUUUUCGUUGGGAAAGAACGGCGAAGUCCAUCCGAACCCUCCAAUGAAGAAAUAA